UCCUACAGUCUAUUGCCAGUAGCUAGCACUGUGCGACUCUCGCAUGGUCUCCCACUGAAACUAAGCAGCUCUGUGCCUAGUCAGAACCUAUAUGGGAGACUGCAUGGGAAAGCUAGGUUGCUGCUGGAA
rnacentral:rRNA from 1 species